UUGAAGCAAAACAAACAAAAUGAAAAAAAAAAUUGCUGUGUCCUGAGGUGAAUUAGCUCCCAUCAUGCAAUGAGACUGUGUUCUGUUAGCAAGUGUUCAAGUGUCAUUAUCAUCAUUAUACAUUUUUCCUGAUAGAUCUCUACAACAUUGUGGGGCUGUAAAAUACUUUGG